UACGAAGGGGGCUAGCGUUGCUCGGAAUCACUGGGCGUAAAGCGCACGUAGGCGGACUCUUAAGUCGGUGGUGAAAUCCUGGAGCUCAACUCCAGAACUGCCUUCGAUACUGAGAGCCUCGAGUCCGGGAGAGGUGAGUGGAACUGCGAGUGUAGAGGUGAAAUUCGUAGAUAUUCGCAAGAACACCAGUGGCGAAGGCGGCUCACUGGCCCGGUACUGACGCUGAGGUGCGAAAGCGUGGGGAGCAAACAGG
rnacentral:rRNA from 1 species